GCCCCGGUAGCGGAUGGCCCGCGUCUGCAAUCAUAAUCAUUUUGAGCUGAUUGAAACCUGUUACAGAGAUCGCUUGUUCGAUUCGAGCUCGGGGCA